ensembl:lncRNA
CCCCGCGAUAUCUGGGUGUAUGAUGUCCCAUGCAGGCCUGUCCCGCCGGUUAUGCAGUGCUGGGCGGGGGGCCUGGUGACCUCAGCACUCGGUGACACGCUGGAGAGUGACAGUGACCGCAGCACCCCUUCCGAGCUGGACCCAGGGGUCUGUUGUGACAAGGAGCCUGGCUGCCAUAAGCGGGAAAUGACCCCAGUUUUCCGGUUUGACGAGGAGCCUGGCUGCCAUGAGCGGGAAAUGACCCCGGUGUUCCGGUUCAACCCGCUGCUGGACUUUGACAACGACUGCGUGGACAUGGGGGCACCUGCCUUCUCCAGGUCUGACAGUGAUGUCAUACUGACCAGCCGGGACAUGGAUCAUAACUGUGACGCCCAUGGCACCUGUGUUGAGAGAAACACCCCUGUCCUGGUCUACCAGCAGACUGGCAGUGGAGACAGCUCCUGGGGGGAGAGCGUGGCCCUGGGUGAGCAGGCAUGCUUGGGGAUUGCUGCGGGCUCCUCUGUCCGCCUGCCUGAGGCCCUGCUGGAGGCAGGCGGCCGGGCAGGGGCACGGAGCGAGUUGGAGUGUAGCAUGAGUGACAUGCUUGACAUGCAUCUGGAGAUGAGGCGGCGUCUAGAUGCGGUGGAGCACACGCUGACCUUUGGCCCACAGCAGCAGGAGAGACUGCGCGAGGAGGAACAGCGGGUGGAGAAUCACCUCCAGCCGCAGAGGAAGCAAACGUGGUUCAAACGCCUCGGCAACGCCCUCAAACGCCUGGGAAAGAGGAAGAGGAAAGAGGAGUGUGAAGGGGGAGAGGGUGGCCCUGGGUGUGACGAGCUGUGCCCAAUCACACAGGACGUGAGCAUCUCACAGGCCACUAUGGGGAAGAUGUGUGAGGCGGACGCCUGUGUCAGAAACCGGCAGGCAGCCUCACGUGACCAGCAGCGAAUGGACCUGCUCCAGGAGCAGCUGGAGGACUUGGAGAGAAGAUUCCAGAAGCAGAAGGUGCAGCUGCAGAAUGCCGAAAGCGCACUGGAGAGGCGCCAGAUCGAGGCGGCGAAUCUGCCCUCCACCUUCCGGUUCGGAGUUGGCCCAACUUGCGAGCCUUCUAACAACUGCCUUUUCCUUGAUGUAAAAGGGGUAUGUGUGUUUCAGUUAUUCCAUAGACACCACUGAAUCUAAUGCAGCCAUACUCCCCC